rnacentral:misc_RNA from 1 species
GUUUGCUUUCCCUCUACCCACUGUGUGGCUUCCCUCCUCCCCCUGGGUGGGGUUAUAGAUAUUUUUUGUCGAAUUUUGAGCAAUCGAGCAUUAACUUUGAGGGACUAUUUGUGGCUGUCUUAUGUGAGCUCAUGAUGUCUUUUACUGGUCCAAUCAUGGGUCUUGUGCUCCUUCAAUUAUCAGCCAUGUCCUUCGUAGAAGAUAACUAAGCCCCAGAGGACCUAUCUAAUAAAGGUGUAAGGGAGCAGUGGCUGAUAGAGGUUUCUCUUGGGAUCACCGCCGAUAGCUAUAUGGCUGACCCAAAUGGCGUGAUUGGCACGUCAAAGAGAACUUCCAUCCCCUCCCUUUGCUGUUUAUAAUGGCUCCUGUUGUCUUCGGCCUCUUUGUUUACUUUCACAUCUUCCUUCAAUAGAUAGAUCUUUUCUUGCUUGAAGGUUAUGUUUACUGCUUGAUGUGGUUCCCCUGUUGUUUUGCUGAGAAGAGCAGAAACCAGCAAUGCUCUCCCCUGUAAGAUGUGGUGUUGUGUCCCUCUGGAAGUUCUCCUCUAAGUUGUGCGACCCUGUAAGAUGCGAUUUAGA